AUUGAACGCUGGCGGCAUGCCUUACACAUGCAAGUCGAACGGUAACAGGUCUUCGGAUGCUGACGAGUGGCGAACGGGUGAGUAAUACAUCGGAACGUGCCCGAUCGUGGGGGAUAACGAAGCGAAAGCUUUGCUAAUACCGCAUAAGAUCUACGGAUGAAAGCAGGGAACCGCAAGGCCUUGCGCGAACGGAGCGGCCGAUGGCAGAUUAGGUAGUUGGUGGGAUAAAAGCUUACCAAGCCGACGAUCUGUAGCUGGUCUGAGAGGACGACCAGCCACACUGGGACUGAGACACGGCCCAGACUCCUACGGGAGGCAGCAGUGGGGAAUUUUGGACAAUGGGCGCAAGCCUGAUCCAGCCAUGCCGCGUGCAGGAUGAAGGCCUUCGGGUUGUAAACUGCUUUUGUACGGAACGAAAAGACUCUGGUUAAUACCUGGGGUCCAUGACGGUACCGUAAGAAUAAGCACCGGCUAACUACGUGCCAGCCGCCGCAGUAAGAC
rnacentral:rRNA from 1 species